UCCCCAGUGCUCCUUUCCCAAGUAGGGGCCAUGGCUUAGUGACACCAUAAACCCCCGUGGCCCCGCCGCCAAGUAUGAGGAUUCAAAACUAAAAUCGUUGUGAUUUAGUCUUUUAAACAGAACGAUACAGAACGAAGCUCGCCCUCCCCCUCGGGCUUUCCCAUGCAUGUUCCUGUACCCAAGAGCAAGGUGUGUUCUUUAACACAUUUAGGCGCGUAAUUGCACCGCACCUGUCAUUCUGCACCUUGCUCCUUUCUCAGACCUACGCUUCGGAGGCUUAUCCAGUUGACGUUUCUCCAGAGUAGCAAUGAACACUGCGUGCAAAGGUUCACGGAGCAAGGGGCGCCUGGAUGGCUCAGUCGGUGAAGCGCCCGCCUUCUGCCCAGGGGCUGGAAAAGGAGAAUGCAUUUGCUUUGCCAAAGGAACAGAAGAUGAGUAGUUCCCUGGUGAUGGUGUUGAUAAAGGAACCUAGGAGAAUGCCCUCAAGAAUCAGCUUCAGGGACGCCUGGGUGGCGCAGUAGUUGAGCAUCUGCCUUUGGCUCAGGGCGUGACCCUGGGGUCCUGGGAUCGAGUCCCGCAUCAGGCUCCCCACAGGGAGCCCGCUUCUCCCUCUGCCUGUGUCUCUGGCUCUCUCUGUGUCUCUCAGGAAUAAAUAAAAUCUUUAAAAAAUCA